AAGUCGUAACAAGGUUUCCGUAGGUGAACCUGCGGAAGGAUCAUUAUCGUGGGGCUCCGGCCCUCUCGAGAUAGAAACCCUUGCCUUUUCGAGUACCAUUUGUUUCCUCGGCAGGCCCGCCUGCCAAUGGGGACCCCAACCAAACCCUUUGUAUAAGCAGUGUAUGUCUGAAAAUACAAACAAACUAUUAAAACUUUCAACAACGGAUCUCUUGGUUCUG
rnacentral:misc_RNA from 1 species